UACGGGGGAGCAAGCGUUGUUCGGAUUUACUGGGCGUAAAGGGCGCGUAGGCGGCGUGACAAGUCACUUGUGAAAUCUCCGGGCUUAACUCGGAACGGUCAAGUGAUACUGUCGUGCUAGAGUACAGAAGGGGCAACUGGAAUUCUCGGUGUAGCGGUGAAAUGCGUAGAUAUCGAGAGGAACACCUGCGGCGAAGGCGGGUUGACUGGGCUGAUACUGACGCUGAGGCGCGAAAGCUAGGGGAGCGAACGGG
rnacentral:rRNA from 1 species